rnacentral:rRNA from 1 species
AGCCUCGGGUUGUAAACCUCUUUCAGCAGGAAUAACGAAAGUGAAGGUACCUGCAGAAGAAGCACCGGCUAACUAUGUGCCAGCAGCCGCGGUAAUACAUAGGGUGCAAGCGUUGUCCGGAAUUAUUGGGCGUAAAGAGCUCGUAGGUGGUCGAUCACGUCGGAUGUGAAAAUCUGAGGCUUAACCUCAGACCUGCAUUCGAUACGGGUUGACUAGAGUGUGGUAGGGGAGACUGGAAUUCCUGGUGUAGCGGUGGAAUGCGCAGAUAUCAGGAGGAACACCGAUGGCGAAGGCAGGUCUCUGGGCCAUUACUGACACUGAGGAGCGAAAGUGUGGGGAGCGAACAGGAUUAGAUACCCUGGUAGUCCACACCGUAAACGGUGGGCGCUAGUUGUGGGAACCUUCCACGGUUUCUGCGACGCAGCUAACGCAUUAAGCGCCCCGGCUGGGGAGUACGGUCGCAAGACUAAAAAUCAA